rnacentral:rRNA from 1 species
UUCCGGUUGAUCCUGCCGGACCCCACUGCUAUCGGGAUAGGACUAAGACAUGCUAGUCGAGUGCUUCAGCUAAAACGAGGCACGGCGAACAGCUCAGUAGCACGUGGCUAAUCUGCCCUUGGGACGAGAACAACCCCGGGAAACUGGGGCUAAUUCUCGAUAGGCGAAGAACACUGGAAUGUGUCUUCACCUAAAAGACCCUACGCUAUGCUCGUAGAAGUCGCCUAAGGAUGAGGCCGCGGCCGAUCAGGUUGUUGGUGAGGUAAUGGCUCACCAAGCCUUUUACCGGUGCGGGCCGUGGGAGCGGGAGCCCGGAGAUGGGUACUGAGACAAGGACCCAGGCCCUUCGGGGCGCAGCAGUCGCGAAACCUUUGCAAUACACGAAAGUGUGACAGGGCUAUCCCGAGUGCCAUCCGCUGAGGAAGGCUUUUACCCAGUCUAGAUAGCUGGGAGAAUAAGAAGAGGGCAAGUCUGGUGUCAGCCGCCGCGGUAAUACCAGCUCUUCGAGUGGUGUGGAUGUUUAUUGGGCCUAAAGCAUCCGUAGCUGGCUAGGUUAGUCCCUUGUUAAAUCCACCGAAUUAAUCGUUGGAUCGCGGGGGAUACUGCUUGGCUAGGGGACGAGAGAGGCAGACGGUAUUUUCGGGGUAGGGGUGAAAUCCUAUAAUCCCGGGAAGACCACCAGUGGCGAAGGCUGUCUGCUAGAACGCGCCCGACGGUGAGGGAUGAAAGCUGGGGGAGCGAACCGGAUUAGAUACCCAGGUAGUCCCAGCUGUAAACGAUGCAGGCUAGGUGUUUGGACGGCCACGUGCCGUUCUAGUGCCGCAGGGAAGCUGUUAAGCCUGCCGCCUGGGGAGUACGAUCGCAAGAUUGAAACUUAAAGGAAUUGGCGGGGGAGCACCACAAGGGGUGAAGCUUGCGGUUUAAUUGGAUUCAACGCCGGG